AUGAGAUCGAAAAAUAUGAAUGGGUGUCAAUGGAGAGAAAAUAAUUAUUUUCUGGUCCCAGUCUUUAUAUGCCCUGGAUUACACAUAUGUUGUUUGUGGAUUUAAAUGAUAAUUUCUCAUGCAAAGAAAACUAAAAAUGUUCGUGAAGAAGUUUGAUCAUUUUAGGUUUUAUGUGAGGUCGCUUUGUGAACUACAGCUCUUCGCUGCUCUCGACGCAUAUGAUAUACGUCACCACACCCGCCCUUGGAACCAGGCCCCCAGGAUAGGCAUAUACUUCCGCAAUCCACCAGUGCUCAGAGGCCAAGCCUGGUAUUGCAGCUGUUUAAGCUGGCUGUGGACGGGGUCCGUCAUUUCAGGCGGCCCAGAAGUAGAUAUCGCCGUCCACUCCAAUACAAGUGGGGAACAGGAUUGUGUCUCCGCAAAAAAUGUCUGGAUAUCAACCAAAGGCUCAUAAUUACCUUCAUGCCAUGUCCUAAAAAAAUGUCCCAUGAGCCCUACCGGAAAGGGCUUGACUUCGCCACUCCAUUAUGGUCCAUGCAGCGGACGCUUGGUGAUGACGUGUUACGACGUGAUGACGAGCCUCAUUGUGUUGGCCAGCGUAUUUUCCAUAAAGACCUGAUGGAGAUCAACGGAGCGCCUCAGAGCAACAGCCAUCAAUGCCUUCCCUAUUUCAGAACAACUUUUAUUGAACAAUAAAUCGUAC